ACGCCACUUGGCAAAAUACCCGACAUCUUCUGCAUACCGCUUCGUUCCUAUCAUCAAUACACUGCAUCGUUCCCAGCUUCAUUUUCCUUCCCAAGAUCUCAUUUCCCCCAUUUCCUUCCUCCGAUCUUCUGGCCUGUUCAUAUCAUCAAUACCCGAUCUUCUGGCCUGUUCCUAUCAUCAAUACACUGCACCUGUUUGUUUCCUUCGAUCUCAGAUCUUCUGGCCUUCAACUCCCCAAAAUAGUUCGCCUCGAGAACCCAAGCGUCGCCGAAGGAUGAUACGAAUAUAUAGAAAGCCUCAGAGCCUCAUCCCCACAUCCCUUAUCUCCAAAGAAGACGAAGAUUCAGCAAAACCCUUGGCGAAGACUGAUCCUUACGAUACAGAAAGCGGUCGGCGUUACCGGAGGUGAAGUUCGUCGGCGUCUUUGGAGGUUGGCAGGUCGUUUUACUGCAACCCUUAAUUUUUUUCCCCUUGUGUGAAAUUUACUUUCAACGGAAUUUUUUUCCAUAUAUUGUGAAAUUGGAGCUCUGUUCAGUGCAUAUUGCUUAUGAUGUUAUGGUGAAUGCAUCUACUUUGAUUGUUACUGCUCUAUAGCAAUCUUUGCCGAUUCAUGCCACCAAUAUUUGAUGCAAUUUAUAAAGUGCUACUUCACCUCGCUAACUACCUGCUAUUGACAUCAAGAUGUGCGAGAGGUGACCAGAUGUUUAAGCCUGUUAGGGUCCUAUGUGAUUCUUUUUUGCUCAUUCUAGGUCUCAUAUUAGAAUUAAUUACCAUCAUUUUUAAAAAGUACUUCAAUGGUAAAGAAGAAUAUUUCCCAGUUUUACAUUUUGUGAAAAUGUUCCAUCGAAAAAUUAGGAGCUUAAGUUUCUAACUGAUGGUUUAUUUAAUUAGGUUUCAGAAUUUGUUGAUGGUUGGAUAUAUACGUGGAUAUAAUUAAAUUAAGAUUUAUAAACUUGCACAGGAACUCUGAAUACAGUAGAAUAUUAAAGAACUCUAAUUUUAGUGAUUUCCAUUUCAUAUUUUUUUUAGUUUUUUUAUAUUCCAUACAAUAUGACAUCUAUCUUUCUCAGUGUACUUCUUUAAUAAUAUAGUUGUAGAUGGAUAAAUAGAGAAGCUAGCUAAGCAAUUAAAUUAUGGAGCAAUUAAAUUAUACUAGAAUAGAAAUUAUGUACCUUUAACCUUUCAUGGUCUUAACACUUGGUUAGGCAGGUGGGUUUUUGUUUAUUUGAUUUGUCUCGCAUCUAUUUGUCCAUUUUAUGUUCUUAACAAUGCUAGCAGAGGACCAAAAAUCAAGGGGUAUUUGGUAUUAUUUUAUUUUUAUGUUUACUUUGUCCAUUUUCAUGUUUACAGCAAGGGGUAUUUGGUAUUGUUUCAUUGCCCUUGAUAAUUUUUAUUAUCUUCUGUUGUAGUUUAAUACUGAUGAAGUUUGAACUACCUUGAUCUUUAAUUACUUGGUUUUUUUCACAAUUGGGAAUCAUGUCGAUAUUAGUUAUAAUGAUGGUAGUUUCAUUGGUGCUCUUUUAUCAUAAUAUUUCCCAUGUAUGGAGCAAUAAAGUUAUAAGUACUUUUAGAAGUGCAUGGCUGUAACUUAAAAGUCUUUUGACAAUUAACAGUGCUUGUGAGAUAUCUGGUGCAGAAUUUGUGUUAUCAGGAGUAAUAGUAUGUCGUAUCGAUGUAUUACAGAUAUUAUUAUAGGUGGUGAUUAUUAUUACCAGAGUGAUUGCUGGCUUCUCUAUUUCAAGUCUAACUGUGGUAAACUGAGGUUGAUAAGAGUCAUGAUUAUCAUGGGACAUUGAUAUAGAUAGAGGCAAUAAAUCUACAAUCAUAAAGAGCUGUUUUAAAAUCACGGACAUUAUAAUAAAAGAUUUUAUAUGUAUAUUGUACAACAGAAUGAUCAAGAGGUAAACAAGAAAUUUACAAUUAGAAUGUUCUUUUUUGUCUCAUACUAUUUUAUGUCUGGUACUUUAUAUACAAAAUACAACAUGUAGAGGCAGAUACAGAGACAAGAAAGUAUAAAUAAAGGGACCAUAUUAUACUAGACAGAGUACAACGUUGCUUACUGAAUAUCUCCAGAUUGCCUUUAGAUAGUACUCCAACAUUCACUGUCCCAAGGAACUAUUAUUUGGAAUCAGUGAUUACUGACUUUAAGAUAUCAUGUUUCUAUAUAACUCAUCUUGACAGAGACAAUAGAGACUGGGUGAAAAAUGUCAACAAAUUCUCUCCCUGUUGCAAACUAUCGUGAUGAUCUGGGAACUCCAGAUGAGUUUGUUCUUUCAGACACUCGAACAUUGUACUUCUAAUGCACCUUCUCACAGUUCUCAGUCCACCAAGUUUCAGUUUGCUGCUCCGCAGAUUGCCUUUGACUAAAAAAAACAAUUUCGUAAUAAGAAAUGCAAAUACCUUAAGCUUUAAUAAGAAAAUAUACAACUCACGGCCAUUUUUUAAUUACCUGAAUCUCUCCAGUUCCCUGGUCCCAUCAUGCAGUUCCAUAAGAGUGAUGUAUAUACCAGGUUCAUAUUGUUCUAUCCAUUCUGCCUCCAUUUGAAUAGUAGCUGUAGUGGGCAAUCUAGACCUGUAACUGUUGUUACUGUUUUGCAAGGGCCUGGCUUCCUUGGAAAUAAGUUGCUGCAUUUUGGCAGAUGUUGGAGUGUCUCUCUUGCUACUAUGCUCCACAUUAUAAUAUUCAUUCAUUAAAUUGGAAUUGUUGACUUUUCAACCAAACUACUAAUCUUCAACCGAACAUGCUGCAAUCUAUACGUCGGUUGCAGUGGUUUGUGCGAGUUAUCAUAUAUUGAAAGCAGUUUGUUAGAGUCAGUUGUUCAGGUUGAAAGGUUGCAGUGGUUUGUGCGAGUUAUCAUAUAUUGAAAGCAGUUUGUUAGAGUCAGUUGUUCAGGUUGAAAGGUUACAGUGGUUUGUGCGCGUUAUCAUAUAUUGAAAGAAACCGUAGCUUUUGAGCAAAACAAACAUGGUUGAUUACGCCAUGGCCAUCCACAAGAACCUCUAUCACACUGAAGAGGUUCCUCAAGAGAUGUUUAAUUAAUAGGAGAGCGGAGGUCGUUUCGAAGCUAAAAUCAUUGGAGGAGUCUGUAGCUCUUUUGAUUUCGUUACUUCAAAAUCCAUCUUAUGUUCAGGAUCUCAAGGCUGAUAAGCAAUACAACGUCCAGAUGCUCAGUGACCAGUUUAAGAUUGGUCCAGAGCAGAUAGAAGCUUUAUAUCAGUAUGCGAAGUUCCAAUUUGAGUGUGGGAACUACUCUGCUGCAUCUGAAUUUUUGUAUCAAUAUCAUGCAUUGUGUACUAACAGUGAAAGGAGCCUUAGUGUACUUUGGGGAAAACUUGCAGCUGAGAUUUUUAAUGCAGAACUGGGAUGAAGCUCUUGAGGAAUUGAAUCGCUUGAAAGAGAUAAUUGACUCAAAGGUAUGACUGCGGAAUGUUCAUGCUCAAAUAUAUAGACUUUUACAGCAGAGGUUUAGAUCCUAUAUUUAGGCAGCAACAUUAAAUUGCAAUGCAGUUUGUGGGGUGAUUAUGCUGUUCAAAGUUUCACAGUAUGUACAUAAAUCUAAUUCAGGAAUUAUUAUAAUGGUGAUUCAGCUUGCAAAGACAAAACCAUAUGGAGGUAAAAAUUACUAUUACAAAUGUCUUAUAUGCGUCCAAGAUAUUAAUCAAUCCCGACAUACCUGAAGUUGCUGAUCUAAGAAAAAGGUAUCAUUACCACUUGUGACAAUGAAGUUGAAAUUUGUUCCUCGGAUAAUAUUACUCCUUGCAAGAGAACUGCGUU